rnacentral:snoRNA from 1 species
AGAUUGUGGUGAGGGAAAUUUCUAAGCAUACCCUUAAAUUUUUCUCAAUCUUGGUAAAGAUUUUCUCCUUCUUUCUGCCUAAAUCUUAGAAUCUCUCUUCUCAAGCAU